UCACUUGGAAUAUUGAACUACGAAUUGAAUUUGAGUUUAAAUGCACUUCAGACUGAUUUGUACAAAGUCUUCGUGACUGCAGUCUGAGGAGGAGAUGGGGCGUGGCAGACUAAGGACGUGGCCAUGACAGAAUCGCCAUUGUCAAGAGCUCUUGCAACAGACAAACAAACAAGCGAGCAUAUCAACAAAUAAAAAACAAUGAACGUGUAAA